AGCAAGGAAAGAAAACAGAUUAUUCCAACUUUAUCCCACAGAUGAAGGCCUUUGUUACAGCAGGCAGGGCUGGGCCUGUGUGCUCACACACAAGAAAAAUAAAAUACUUCUGUGCCUUCUGGAAAAGCCAGAAUUGCGCAAGUCUGCUAUUUAUUGCAUCUGUUCGUGGUUAUAAUUCCUGUCAGCCUUUGUUUCCGGAAACAGCCCGAGUCCCAGGUCAUGAGACAACUUUCCUGAUUAGGAUUAUUUUGAUACUUGUAUCUAUUGAGGUAUGUACGGACCUUUCAUUUUUUUUCCCUAGGAUUGUGUAACGUGAAAUUAACUGCAUAUUCCUUCAUUGUUUUACGAUUUAAGUAUAGCUCCGUGUGGUUUUGUACAGGGGAGGGCAGGAACUGGAUUUACAGCUUCUCUCUGCAAUAAGUUUCUAGUCAGUUGAAACGCUGCCAGCCUCAGGAAAACAACUCCAGGUUUGCCCUUUAUGAGGAAAAAAAAAGUAAAAUGCAGGCACUCUGUGCCUGUGGGGUUCUUGGGUGAUCAUUCUGCUAAAAUUGUUCUGUGCUGUAGAAGAGGUCAUUCCAGUAUUACAAUAACUUCUUCUUUUAGUUGAAAUUUCUUCGGUCAAAAGCGAAACUGGGAACAAAUGUGGUGUUUGGGCUAAUUUAGGAUUUUUCAGGCUGGAAGUUGGAGGUGGUUUGACAUGGCUGUGAUGGUGCAUUGCUUUUCUGACAGCUGAUUGCUGUAACUCCAGAGCCUCUGUCGUCGGCAAAUCUGGGAAAUGGAAAAAUACGAGGAACUUUCAUAUUGCUGUCAGUCACAGCUGGCUUAGGAAGCAGGAGUCAGUGAGGGGAAAAGUGUUUCUUUCUCUUUCUGGGAUGUUCAUGGUAGGUCAGAAGAGUUAUAAGAAGUGCAGUCUCUUAAUCACCUGUGUGACUGGUUAUGAGUUGGGAACACUGUGAUGACAUUUCUUGGACACUUGGGGAAAAUGUCCUAUAUAAUUCUGUCUCUGUUAUGGCACAAAAGCCUUUCUGUGGACAUUUGAGGCCAGCAGCAGUCCAGACCAGCCUGAAACUUUCUCCUUGUCUCUGCUACUUAAAUUUACAUGGUGAAAGUAUCCCCACUCUGCUGAAUCAACAGGAAGUCUGACCCGAUUUCUGCUGUGCUGAGGCUUCCACUGUUCUGCCCUUCCCUCCCAAGAUCGAUAUAGCCGUGUCCCAGACUACUCAAGCAGCUUCCUUCCUGCUCAGGUACCUCAGCCUUGAAGGGAUCCUUUUCAUUUGGACCCCCCCGUGUCUUCUGCUGAGUAAUUGAUCACCGUGCACCCGGGGACACCCAAUUCACAGCCGAGUGGGAUCAGCCCUCAUGAAUAAGCAAAGCGCCGUGGCCGUGCUGCUGCAGGAGUGCGAGCGGGCUCUGGACACGCUCCUGGCACCCAAGGCCGGCACGGGCGAGGGAGAGGAGCGGGAAUACCGGCAGUGCCAAGCUCUGCUUCCUGAGGAGCUGAGGAGCCUCCUGGAGGAGGCAAAGGAAAUGAAGUGGCCCUUUGUGCCGGAGAGGUGGCAGUACAAACAAGACCUCGGCCCAGAAGACAAAACAAACCUGCAAGAUAUGAUCAGCGCCAGGCUCCCUGACUUGCUGGCUUAUCUGAAGGCUUCCAUCCUUGCCGGGGACUGCAGCACGGCCACGGCCGUGGUGUUCCUGAUUGACCGCUUCCUCUACUGGAUCGACGCCUCCAGCAGGCUCCUGCGCAUCGCCAAGGGGCUGCACCGGCUGCAUCCCGCCGCUCCCAUCAGCCCGCAGGUGCUCAUCCGCCAGGCUCGCCUCGCCGUCAACGCAGGUAAACUUUUAAAAGCUGAGUAUAUCCUCAGCAGCCUGAUCAAUGACAACGGGGCAACGGGAACCUGGCGAUACGCCGAGGAGAGCGAUCGGAUUCUUGUUCAGGCAGUCUGCUUACAAAUCAGGGGGCAGAUUCUGCAAAAGCUUGGGAUGUGGUAUGAGGCAGCAGAGCUGAUCUGGGCUUCAAUCGUGGGAUACUUCAAACUUCCCCAGCCAGAUAAAAAGGGAAUUGCCACAUCCUUGGGUAUUAUGGCAGACAUCUUUGCUUCCAUGAAUGAGCAGGAUUAUGCACGCUUUAAAAGCAAUGCUGACAUUGCCCUGAGCCUCCUGCAGGAGUUCAGCCACCGCUUGUUGUCGGCGGCUGAGGCCUGCAAGCUGGCAGCUGCCUACAGCCAGUACACCCCCCUGUUCGUCCUCACGGCCGUGAACAUCCGUGGGAUGUGCCUGCUGUCCUACAGCCACUCCAAGGACUGCCCCCCGGAAAAGAGAGAGUUCUACUUGUCUGAAGCCAAAGAAUCCUUUGAGAUCGGGCUGCUCACCAAGGAGGAGCAGAGUGCCAUCACCAGCAAGCAGGAGCUGCACAGUUUCAUCAAAGCCGCCUUCUGCCUCGCCACCGUGCACCGAUGGCUCUACGGAGAGAGCCGGGAGCUCCGUGAGGUGGCUCAGCUGUGCAGGGAAGCCCUGGGAAAACUGCACUCCUACAGCACCUUGUUUCCAGAGGAGGAGGAUAAAGGCAUGCUUGCCAAAGAGAUCAUGUCUGUGAUCGCGUCCGUGAAGAAGCGCCUGCGAGUGGGAAGCUUCCCGAAUUCAGAUUCCAGGUCUUACGUCCCAGACAGUUAUAAAGGCUCGGUACAAAAACCUGUCCUGCAAGGGGAAACCAGCUUUGAGAAAAUCCUUGCCAAGCAUUCCCAGCAUCACCUGUCAGUGUGCCAAGUGUUUGAAAAAACUUGCAGGAUUCGUAAAACCACACCGGGAGAAAUCCAGGUGGGAGCUUGCAUCACGACCUUGAGAACAGAGACCAAAGCCACGGACACCGUGUGCACCACUGAAGACGCAGUUCGCCAGAAGAGAGGUGCUGGGAGAAUCCCGAACUCACCAACGGCAGGAAGCACCUCAGAGGGACCCAGUGGCCAAAGAAAUCAAGACAUCUGCUCUGGCGUGAUGAAAAUUUCCUUGGAAGAGGAGGUUGAGCCAUUAGGGAUGAAAAUAAACGUCGAAAACGAUGUCUUCAGCAGAGGGCAAAACGGGAGCCAAAGCACUACUUCUGAGAAGUCUUGGUGCAAGCUGCUUAAAUCCAGUUACUCUUCCAGCUGGGAGGAGCUAAGCUGCAAUAGCAGCAGAGAGUCUCUCAGGGACGGGCAGCGAGGGGAGAAGGACUCAGCGGGGGAGCGGUGCUGCACCACGGAAUCUGAUGGAAACAAUCAGGAUGCUCCCUUGUGCUCGUUACCUGCCGGAUCCUGGCAUCCUGCUCCUCCAGAAUCCCUCCAUGGCUGUGGGGGAUCUCCUGAGCAUUCCUCAGAGGGGCCCGCGCCUCCAGCAGGGAGGAUGGUGGAGGAGCCCCUCUGCGGAGAAGAGCUGAGGGAGGGAGGACACCGUGGAAGGAGCUCUUCAGGAAAGAAAGCAAAGGGCUCGAACAAUGAGUUUCCUUCCCUCUCCGCCUCUUACUCUGUUCCUACAGGCCAGGAGGAGGAGGAGGAGGAGGAAGAGUCCUUUUCCUGUGCGGAGCUGAGCUGCAGCACCAAGGACAGCAGCGGGGAGGGAGGCAUUGCUCACUUGGAGUGGGUGCAGCCAGGAGAACCUGCAGAUAGCCCUGAGGAUCCCUGGCUUGAGGCACAGCCCCCCCAAAACAGGGGCAUGGGGUCGAAAACGGGCAGUGGCUCCUCUGUGAGUGACUGGGUGAGGAAAUCUGCCAUGCUGGGGAACACGUCUCUCCAAGUGCCUCAGGUUGACACCCAGGCAGAAACAAUAGAUGACACUGAAUUUGAGCUCAUCAGUGUGGGAGACUUGGUGAACAAUUAUCCCACAGCACUGCCUCCAAAGCGUGAGGCAAAUCCCGGUGUGCCAACAGCUUUGGCCUCCCGGGGAAAGUUAUCCACAACAAAGCACUUUGACUGUGCCACUACAGAAGAAGACGAAGAGAAGUCUCAGGAUGUGGCCAGCAGCAAGAGACAAUCCAGUUCCUCUCUGAGCUCAUGGAUCAAGUCAGCACAGCUGCCCACGAGCUCCCCUGAAGGUUCAGUCCCAAGGGGAAGUGAUUUUGCCUUCACACCUGGGAGAACAAAGGAGAAGGUUCUGGAUGCUCGGUUUCUGAGGGAUGAUGAUUACAAGCAGCUUCUGGCAGGGGUGGAGCAUGAUUGGCUUGUCCAGAGACUGAUGCCUACUGGGAUUUUCAGGGCCAAAGAGCUUCACAAAGCGUACUCUGCUCUUCUUCUGAAAUACUCCAAGAAAUCCGGGCUGUGGACGGGCCAGGAGACAGCCGUGUUCAUCGGGGACUACCUGAACGUGGCCAAGGAAGGCAAGCAGAGAAGUGCCUUUUGGAUACACUUCCUGCACCAAGAGGAAAGCCUGGGAAGGUAUGUUGGGAAGGAAUAUAAAGAAGAAAAAGGACUCCUCCAUCAUUUCAGUGACGUGGAGCGCCAAAUGACCGCCCAGUACUACGUGACAGAGUUCAACAAGAGGCUGUAUGAGCAGAAGGUCCCUACCCAAAUCUUUUAUAUCCCCUCUGCAGUGCUCCUGAUCCUGGAAGACAGAACUAUAAAGGGGUGUGUGAGUGUGGAGCCCUACAUCCUCGGGGAGUUUGUGAAGCUCUCCAACAACACCAAGGUAGUGAAGAAUGAGUACAAAGCCACGGAGUACGGUCUGGCUUACGGCCACUUCUCCUACGAGUUCUCCAAGGGAACUGACGUUGUUGUCGACCUUCAAGGUUGGGUGACAGGUAACGGGAAAGGCCUCAUCUACCUCACAGACCCCCAGAUUCAUUCCCUCAACAGCAAAGACGUCUCACGCUCCAACUUUGGGAAGAAAGGAAUUCACUACUUCUUUAACGAUCAACACGUGGAGUGCAACGAGAUCUGCAGCUGCCUGUCCCUGACGAGGCCCUCGCUGGAGCUGCUGGCCUAGACUGGCACAGGUCAGUCCACAGAAUGACAACAUCAGCUGGACACUGUUUCACCCUACACAUCCUUGGGAGCAGAUCGUCCAGCAAGGCAGCGAAAAGCUGCCUUCAUUUCCCAUUCUCCUCUUCCCCCUCAAAGCCCCGAUGUCCCGCUGCCCCCGAGCGUUGGGAUCAUUUCUUUGGGGAGAUUUUCUCCGUGAGAGAGGGAGCACAGCCAUCAAAGUUCCACAAAAAGAGAUGGGUCCCCGACAGACUUUGCUUUAACAAAACCAUCCCCUUUUGUUUCUGCAGCCAGCCGAGGUUUUUAGGCUUUUGUCCCCGCGCUUUAGCAAUGCUAUUGUUUUCUAGGUGAUGUUUGUGCCGAGUUGUUUGGAAAGAUGCCCUAUCCCUGGGCCAACUGAUUAGAACUAGGUGUAAAGAGGGAGAAGGAAGAAAAAAAAAAAAAAAAGAAAUUAAAUCUCUUUAUUAUGGUGCAUAAACCUUCAGUCUUGGGGAGCUGCGCAGCUGCGCGGGGAGAAAAAUGCAUUCAAAAAUAUAAUGCCAGUGUGAAUAAUCCUUUCCCGAGCUCUGCUCGCAGACUGCUCCAGCUUUGUCAGGUGAACUUGAACCGGGCCAUCAGAUUUGCUGCCGUUCCCAUUGCACACUGUCUGUCACCCCGGGGCAUUCACCAUCUUGCCUGUUGUUCAGAGCCAGCAAACAAUCCAUCAUUGAGCUGGGCAGUCGCCGGCUCACACAAGAGUGAAAUCGGCAUGUGACGGGACGCUCGGCCCCAGUGUCUCGCAGAUUAAAGUGAUACAUGAAAACUCACGUGUUACUGGGAAGAUUAAGCCCCGUUAUCUUGUUGUGCAGCCAAUAAAGGCCGGCCUUGUCCUCGGCAGUGGGGAAAUGCUGGCUUUGACUAAGGGACAAACGUCGCGCUCGCAUAGCUCCGUGCUCCGGCCAGCGAGCGCCAGGGCUCCGUCCGGAGAGCAAACAAAGCUAGUUAGCAAGAUCCCGGGAAUUAAUGGGCGGCAGAGAUGCUGUGUUAAAGCCCCUCUGCAGAAGCUUUCCCCGCUCUAUAGAGACAAUUAAAAGCAAAACAAAACCUCUCGGACAAUCUCUGCGCGACAAAGUGUCCUAACGCGCUGCCGGCAGCACACGCGGUUUGGGGAGCCCUGACCAGACAUGCUUUUUCCAGCUCUUUCGUGCUCAAGGAAAGAAGAAGGAAAUUUAUUUAGACGUGCUUCUGAAUAAAUCCAUCCCUGUGAAAUGUUGAUAUUUUGUUUUCUUCCUAAUAUUUCCACCUAGCGGCUUAUUUCUUCUGUUGGUUUUAAGAGACAUUUUGCCACCUCAGCCGAAGUUACGGCUGCUCACAGGUAAAAAUUAGGGUGGAGGAUCAGCUUGUCCAGUUCCCUGUUAAAACAGACAUGGAAUCAUAUUCUACUGGUUUUACUCUUUCCAGGAUUGGGCACAAUUUCAGAUGGAUCAGGAGCUCUGCCUCCAUCCGGGGCUUGGAUACCGGAAAUCACGGAUUUACCACCUCGUCGCCUGAAGAACUGGGAGGCACACGUGGCCCCAAACACAGAGAGUUUAAAUGAUUGGUUCAUAUUUGUGGUAUCCAGGUGAAAGGCAGAGCCUUGCUGGCUGUGUGUCGUGCUUGUGCAUCCCAGUUAGUAAAUCUGGCAUCCAGGGAGCAAGCGGAUGCAGCCAAAGCCUGCUAACAGAUGCUGCUUUGUGCUGCCCGGGACCAGGCAGCUAUUAGCAGCAAAUCCAGCGAGGGAAAUUAAUGAAGGCGACUACUAAUAAAAGACAGCUCAGGACAGCCCGACCAACUUGCUCCGAGCGAAACAGUUGUUCAUGGAGCCAGUGACACCAGGCCCCACCAAACCUUGGUUCCACAAGAGACAAGGACAGGCCCAAUCCCGUAAUUCCCAAUCGCUGGCACGGAAAGCAGAAACAAGCGGCAACCCCAAAGUUACGAAAAUUAGAGCUUUUUAUUUAUAUUUUAUCACAAGGACAAUCCCUUUGCUCUUCAGCUGUAAAUACAUACUAGAAUAAACUCUGUAAAUUAUACAAAAAAAUACAUAUUUUCCAUGAAAUCUGUCUUUAUAAUAAAUAAAUGUGAACACGUGUGUGGCUGAUCGCUGUAA